GAGGAAUCUUUUCAACUUCAGGUCUGCUCCACGGAUUGAUUGGGUAUUUUGUUGACAUUAUCUGCUGUUGCUUUAGACUUGGAGCAGAUCAAUCCAAGGAGGGUUCUCCCUGAUUAGGACCGCCUGGAAAAUUUUACAUGUAUUUAUUUAGCAGAGACAUUUAUAUAAAGCGAAAAAUGAGAAGCAUAAAUAAGUCCUGGAUGGUAGCGUAUAAACAGAUUAUUUAGUUUACAACUGCAAUUACAUAUUAUGCCAUUCGCAAUUCGCUUAAUGGGAUUGUAGUUCUUUCCAUCAUUAAAGUCGUUAAGA